rnacentral:lncRNA from 1 species
UUUUCUUUUUUUUGACUGGUUCCAGUUGAACUUUCUGCUAUUGUAACUGAGGACAUGUUUGGAUUUGCAUAUCCAAGAGCUGCUCCGAUUUAAUUAUGUUGUAUUGUUUUUAAUAAAUUUCGCGAGAAAACUCUUCCGGUGUUCCACAAAAAAAAAACAAAAAAAAAACCUUUGGCAUAAAAUAUAAUUUUGGUGUCAUCGUCCACUUUAGUAGUGAUCUUCAGUUCUAUAUCCACUAUGGAAUGUGAAUAUGAUGCUCAACACAAAAUUAUUAAGCAAUCAUAUACGUACCACCAUGAUAUAUCUAUAAUACAUUUAUUAAUAUAUGUAUAGCUCGUAACCAAUAUUCUAAUAUAUAUUUUGUAAAUUUUAUUUUCCAAAAAAGUUGAAAAUCGUUAGACAUAACAUUUUGGGAAUUUUGUUUGCUCUGCCAUUUAUGAAACUUAAAUUUGUUUAAGUGUCAUCAACCAAAACAUCUUUCAAAACAUGCCACAAAGGAGGAAGCUUGGACGAUUUUUCCCUUGUGCAUUGUUGAGUGAGCAAUUAAAGAGAGCAUUAAAUGGAAGAAUUAAAGCAAAAACCAGAUAUAAGAUGUGUUAAUAGAAGACAAAUAACCUAAAGAUUUUAUAUGAGUUGUCCAUCAAAUAAAUAAGCUUGGAUGUGUAGG